AGGACGAACGCUGGCGGCGUGCCUAAUACAUGCAAGUAGAACGCUGAAGAGAGGAGCUUGCUCUUCUUGGAUGAGUUGCGAACGGGUGAGUAACGCGUAGGUAACCUGCCUUGUAGCGGGGGAUAACUAUUGGAAACGAUAGCUAAUACCGCAUAACAAUGGGCGACACAUGUCAUUUAUUGAAAGGGGCAAUUGCUCCACUACAAGAUGGACCUGCGUUGUAUUAGCUAGUAGGUGAGGUAACGGCUCACCUAGGCGACGAUACAUAGCCGACCUGAGAGGGUGACUCGGCCACACGUGGGGACUGGAGACCACGGCCCAGACCUCCGUAGGGAGCAGCAGUAGGAUCGUGGCAAGUCGGGCAACCGUGACCGAGACACGCCGCGUGAGUAGAAGGUAAGGUUUCGGAUACGUAACGUCGUCGUUGUUAGUAA
rnacentral:rRNA from 1 species